rnacentral:rRNA from 1 species
CCUACGGGAGGCAGCAGUGGGGAAUAUUGGUCAAUGGGCGCGAGCCUGAACCAGCGAAGUAGCGUGCAGGAUGACUGCCCUACGGGUUGUAAACUUCUUUUAUAAAGGAGUAAAGUGAGAAACGGGUGCCUUUUUAUAUGUACUUUAUGAAUAAGGAUCGGCUAACUCCGUGCCAGCAGCCGCGGGAAUACGGAGGAUCCGACCGUUAUCCGGAUUUGUUGGGUUUAAAGGGAGCGUAGAUGGGUUGUUAAGUCAGGUGGGAAAGUUUGCGGCUCAACCGUAAAAUUGCAAUUGAUACUGGCAGACUUGAGUACAGUAGAGGUAGGCGGAAUUCGUGGUGUAGCGGUGAAAUGCGUAGAUAUCACGAAGAACUCCGAUUGCGAAGGCAGCUUACUAAACUGCCACUGACACUGAGGCUCGAAAGUGUGGGUAUCAAACAGGAUUAGAUACCCUUGUAGUC